UACGUAGGGUGCAAGCGUUUGUCCGGAAUUAUUGGGCGUAAAGAGCUUGUAGGCGGUUUGUCGCGUCUGCUGUGAAAUUUCGGGGCUCAACCCCGAACUUGCAGUGGGUACGGGCAGACUAGAGUGUGGUAGGGGAGACUGGAAUUCCUGGUGUAGCGGUGAAAUGCGCAGAUAUCAGGAAGAACACCGAUGGCGAAGGCAGCUCUCUGGGACGGUACUGACGCUGAGACGCGAAAGCGUGGGGGAGCGAACAGG
rnacentral:rRNA from 1 species